GGGAGGGUAUGAUUUGAAUUGAGUAUUGAAGCGCAGCUGACUUUUUUUUUUUACAAUCACCUAAAAAAGUCCAAUUGUGGCUUCAAUUUUGGCAUGUGUGGAAAAUUGGCCUUUUGAUAAGCAAUCAAAACCUUAUUUUCCUGAACAGGGUAUUCCCCAGCCUAACCCCAAAAUUGUGUCAUACCUGAGAAAAUAAUCAGGUCGUUUUCCAUGGUGGUGAGCUCAUCAUAGGAACUAUACAAGAGUGGUAGAUCCAGGAAUUUGAAAUAGAGGGGCGCUUCACAAGUGGAGAGUCGACUAGACUGGCUGGGAAUGAGUACCUUGAUGCUCAAUUUUGAUUGGCUUUGUGCCAAAUGUCAUACUGCCAUCAGUGGACAAGCCAUCACCUAAUUUUGUGGGCAUGAGAAAGGCAAGCCAAGCAUUCAUUCUUGAUGAUCGAAUUUAAUGUCAACUACUGUAAUUAAAAUAGGAUAGAAAUGUGAUUCAGCACAACAUGUUUCACAGUUAAUGAUGAAGAUACGAAGAGUCAUCAACGCUGUGACGUUACAUUUACACAGUGUUAACCUUGAAUCACGAUGAGUAAUAAUGACUCAACUCGCAAACAUAUAACCACAUCUGCUGGCUCUUGUGAACUAUGUAGUAUUUAUCAUUUAUAUUAAUUAUGUUGGUCUACUUGAGAAAAAUUACCUGACAUUAAUUUUUUGUUUUGUAAAAUCCCCAUUGACGAGAGCCAGCAAUUAUAAGAAUCACAGAAGUCUCACGGACACUGGUGUAUUUGUAUAGCUUGGAAAAUCGCAUUCACAAUCUUAAUUGCACUCAAGCCCUCUAUUGACUCAAGUAAAAAAUAGAGCACAAGAUAAAAUUACAAAUUAUAUUACAGUAUAUUAAUAGUGUAAUUGGUGCUCUUUUAUCGAAGUCCCUAGAAACACAAAAUUCCCUCCCUAUUCAAAAUUUUAAGAAAAAAUUUCAUUUAAAAAAAAUGGGAUAUGACAGUGGUUAAAUGUUUAGCACAUACUGUUAAAUAUUUGCCUCUUUUCACCCAGUUUUUAAAUAUUCAAAAAUCUGUAUCUCAUCAAAUACUGUAUGCAUUUUUGUGUCGUAUAAAAAUCAGCUUUACAACAUAUAUAUAAAAAAAAAUUUCCUCUUGAGUAUGGCUUUAACUCCAAACAGAUUUAUUAGGCUUACAAGUAAGUAGACCUCUUUGUACAGGAGUUAGAAGUUUCAGUAACUAGGUAGUAGUAGAGGCCACAAACAACCUCUAAUCAAUAAAAAAAAAAUUAUAAUGUAGAAAUUUCAGGAUACUGUUUAAAAACUGAUAUAUAUUCCUGAAAAUGGCACAAUAAAUUCAAAGCAUUGA